CCUACGGGAGGCAGCAGUGAGGAAUAUUGGUCAAUGGACGAGAGUCUGAACCAGCCAAGUAGCGUGAAGGAUGGCUGCACAAUGGGUUGUAAACCUCUUUUAUAAGGGAAUAAAACGUUGCACGCGUGGGAUGUUGUAUGUACCAUAUGAAUAAGGAUCGGCUAACUCCGUGCCAGCAGCCGCGGUAAUACGGAGGAUCCGAGCGUUAUCCGGAUUUAUUGGGUUUAAAGGGAGCGUAGGUGGGUUGUUAAGUCAGUGGUUAAAGUUUGCGGCUCAACCGUAAAAUUGCAGUUGAAACUGGCAGUCUUGAGUACAGUAGAGGUGGGCGGAAUGCGUGGUGUAGCGGUGACAUGCUUAGAUAUCACGAAGAACUCCGAUUGCGAAGGCAGUUCACUGGACUGCAACUGACACUGAGGCUCGAAAGUGUGGGUAUCAAACAGGAUUAGAUACCCGAGUAGUC
rnacentral:rRNA from 1 species